rnacentral:lncRNA from 1 species
CUGCCGCUUGCAUUCACGCACGUAAAGGCAUGCUGGGAAAGAGGCCAAGAGAUCACAAACCGGAAGCUUCUGGUUAUUGACUGCAGGGACAGUGCUGGGAAGAUGGGAUCUUUAUCAGCAAGACUGUAGCCGAGCGGUCAGCAGCCCCUUCCACGCUGACCAGCUUCAGCUGGGUGACACACGCUUCCUGUGGCCCGGGCAGCCCUCCCUGACAUUAUGCCUCUGUGGGAGGAGGGGUAAGAGCCAAGUCUGUCCCUCCAAGCAGCAUCAGAGAGCUUCAGCGGAACCUGGAAUCGCUCCAGGGGAAGGGGGAUGCGUCCGCCAAGUCUUCCCAGCUCUCCUUGGCCACAGAUGCCUGGG